rnacentral:rRNA from 1 species
CCUACGGGUGGCAGCAGUCGAGAAUCAUUCACAAUGGGGGAAACCCUGAUGGUGCGACGCCGCGUGGGGGAAUGAAGGUCUUCGGAUUGUAAACCCCUGUCAUGUGGGAGCAAAAUAAAAAGAUAGUACCACAAGAGGAAGAGACGGCUAACUCUGUGCCAGCAGCCGCGGUAAUACAGAGGUCUCAAGCGUUGUUCGGAAUCACUGGGCGUAAAGCGUGCGUAGGCUGUUUCGUAAGUCGUGUGUGAAAGGCGCGGGCUCAACCCGCGGACGGCACAUGAUACUGCGAGACUAGAGUAAGGGAGGGGGAACCGGAAUUCUCGGUGUAGCAGUGAAAUGCGUAGAUAUCGAGAGGAACACUCGUGGCGAAGGCGGGUUCCUGGACAUUAACUGACGCUGAGGCACGAAGGCCAGGGGAGCGAAAGGGAUUAGAUACCCGUGUAGUC